rnacentral:rRNA from 2 species
UAACACGUGGGUAACCUGCCCAGAAGCAGGGGAUAACACCUGGAAACAGAUGCUAAUACCGUAUAACAGAGAAAACCGCCUGGUUUUCUUUUAAAAGAUGGCUCUGCUAUCACUUCUGGAUGGACCCGCGGCGCAUUAGCUAGUUGGUGAGGUAACGGCUCACCAAGGCGAUGAUGCGUAGCCGACCUGAGAGGGUAAUCGGCCACAUUGGGACUGAGACACGGCCCAG